rnacentral:ncRNA from 1 species
CCUUGGAAGAGUUAUAUCAAACUAGAGUAGAUUUUAUCGAAAUAGGACUUUAUGAAUAAGGAA